rnacentral:rRNA from 1 species
UGAGUAAUGCCUAGGAAUCUGCCUGGUAGUGGGGGACAACGUCUCGAAAGGGACGCUAAUACCGCAAACCUCCUACGGGAGAAAGCAGGGGACCUUCGGGCCUUGCGCUAUCAGAUGAGCCUAGGUCGGAUUAGCUAGUUGGUGAGGUAAUGGCUCACCAAGGCGACGAUCCGUAACUGGUCUGAGAGGAUGAUCAGUCACACUGGAACUGAGACACGGUCCAGACUCCUACGGGAGGCAGCAGUGGGGAAUAUUGGACAAUGGGCGAAAGCCUGAUCCAGCCAUGCCGCGUGUGUGAAGAAGGUCUUCGGAUUGUAAAGCACUUUAAGUUGGGAGGAAGGGCAGUAAAUUAAUACUUUGCUGUUUUGACGUUACCGACAGAAUAAGCACCGGCUAACUCUGUGCCAGCAGCCGC